GACGAACGCUGGCGGCGUGCUUAACACAUGCAAGUCGAACGGAAAGGCCCUGCUUUUGUGGGGUGCUCGAGUGGCGAACGGGUGAGUAACACGUGAGUAACCUGCCCUUGACUUUGGGAUAACUUCAGGAAACUGGGGCUAAUACCGGAUAGCAGCUCCUGCUGCAUUGUGGGGGUUGGAAAGUUUCGGCGGUUGGGGAUGGACUCGCGGCUUAUCAGCUUGUUGGUGGGGUAGUGGCUUACCAAGGCUUUGACGGGUAGCCGGCCUGAGAGGGUGACCGGCCACAUUGGGACUGAGAUACGGCCCAGACUCCUACGGGAGGCAGCAGUGGGGAAUAUUGCACAAUGGGCGGAAGCCUGAUGCAGCAACGCCGCGUGCGGGAUGACGGCCUUCGGGUUGUAAACCGCUUUCGCCUGUGACGAAGCGUGAGUGACGGUAAUGGGUAAAGAAGCACCGGCUAACUACGUG
rnacentral:rRNA from 1 species